CCAUGUGCUGAACGUGUGGCUGUAAAAAAGAAAUAGCUGAAAUGUCUUGAGUCAAUAUGACCUCUUGUACACCAGAUGCAUCAAACUCAUUGCGUUCCAGCGGAAGUCAUUCAUUGUCAAUGGAGCAGUCCGCAACGCUACUUUGGGGGUGCUGCACCAGUCAGCAGUGCUUUCUGUGUAGCGCAUAAAUUCAAUAUUUUCAACGCGUGCGUUGCUUUACCGUGCGGUGGGACAAACGUAGACACCAUGAACUACGUGGGCCAGCUGGCAGGCCAGGUGUUGGUAACAGUGAAGGAGCUGUAUAAGGGCAUUAACCAGGCCACACUGUCAGGCUGCAUCGACGUGGUGGUGGUCAGACAGCCUGACGGGACCUUCCACUGCUCCCCCUUCCAUGUACGCUUCGGGAAACUGGGAGUGCUGCGCUCCAAGGAGAAAGUGAUUGACAUUGAGAUCAAUGGAGAACCAGUGGAGUUGCACAUGAAGCUGGGGGACAACGGAGAGGCCUUCUUUGUUCAGGAAACCGAGCAGCAUAAUGAGAUAAUCCCUGCCCACCUUGUGACGUCUCCCAUCCCCACAGAGGAGGCUCUGGGGAGGGGCAGAGAGUCCAGAGCUGGGGAGUUGGGCCUGGAGGGUGGGCUGCAGCCGCCCCAGGGGGACUCACAAAACCCAACCUCCUCCUCCACCCCCCUCCUUCCCCCCAGCACCACAGCAGGGAAGAAGAAGAAGAGACGUAGGAAGAAGCACAAAGCAGACCCCCGGAAGGAGGAGCAACAGGCCUCCACUGCUGGUGGUGAGGAGGUCUGUGAACUGAGCUCAGACGAGGAGCACGGUACACAAAACAACGGCAGGGCCCCCUUGUUCUCUACAGUGAAGGACACAGUGGAACACAGGCAGCACCCCAACCUCCACUCCUUGGACAGCUACCCCUUCUCUGAUGGAGACUGGUCUCCCGGCGACAGCCACAGAUCCCCAAGAUCCCUGUCAGAGCCCAUGUCUCCAAAGAGCGACUCAGAGUUGAUGGUGAAGUUAUCAGAGAGCAUGCUCAGAGCAGAGUCACACAUGCAGUGGUCCUGGGGUGAGUUCCCAGAAUCCACCAGGGUCAGUAAGAAAGAGCCCUCGGAGCUGCCUAAGACGAUGACUAUCACCCCGUCAGAGAGCACACACUUCAGGGUCAUCCUCAGCUCAGAGGCCAUGGAGGUGGAGGCUGGGGGCCUGCACACCUCUCUGGACCCAGUGUGUGGACCUGCCAUCGUCAAACCAGAGCCCCGGACCCCCAAACAAAAUACCCUCCUCAGCUCAAAACACCACACAUCCGACCCUCUAUCUGAACCACAUCAUCCCCCCAAACCUAUUCAUGACCAUUGCCCACCCCAACCUGAACCGUGUCCCCUCAAACCAGAACCAGGUGCUCUAACGUCAGAGCCCAGUCCAGACCUCUGUAUCCCGUCCAAGCCUGAACGUCCAAGCCCUUGGACUUCCACUCCUCCCAGUGUGCUUGAUUCCAGCCAGAGGGACAGUGGCUCUACUGCCGGUGGGGCCAGUUGCAUGGCCGGGGACCUGGGGUCCAUCGGCUCCAAGACUGACUCCCCCUCCAAGAGGAGAGGUGUGAGGAAGAGGAGUCAGCACCAGGGGCCUGAGGAUAUAUACCUGGACGACCUGAACGCUAUGGAGCCUGACGUCGUCGCGCGCUACUUAGCUCCCAAGAGUGAGUCCGAGACCAUCCCUAAGCACUGGGUGGAGGUUGGCCGGUGCGAUGGGUCCCAGUCUCCCCAGUCUGUGGGCAGUGCUGCGGCCGACAGCGGGACAGAGUGUCUGUCUGACUCGGCUGGGGAUCUACCAGACAUCACCCUGUCUCUCUGUGGAGGGGUCGGAGAGAACUCUGAAAUCUCCAAAGAGAAAUUCAUGGAGCACAUCAUCACAUAUCAUGAAUUUGCUGAAAAUCCAGCAAUCAUUGACAAUCCCAAUUUGGUGGUUAGAAUUUCAAACCGAUAUUACAACUGGACAUUGGCAGCUCCAUUGAUACUAAGUAUGCAAGCUUUCCAGAAGAACCUGCCCAAGGCCACAGAGGAGGCAUGGGUGAAAGAGAAGAUGCCUAAGAAGUCCGGCCGCUGGUGGUUCUGGAGGAAAAGCAGCGUCAAACAGUCUUCAGAGGCCAAGAUGGACAGACACGAGUCCCAACACAGAGACACAGAGAGCCCUGUCCUCGAUCAACAGAUUCCAGCAGUGCCACAGCAGAAAGCAGUAGACGACUCCUCCAGCGAUGAAGAAUCGAAAGAGCUCAACACAGUGGCACCUACUGAGCACAUGCACACAGAGCUACCUCCACCAACUGGCUCGCACUCCUACAUGAAGUCUCUCCGCCUCUCGUCUGACCAGAUAGUCAGUCUGAAGUUGAGGGAGGGGCCUAAUGACGUCACUUUUAGCAUCACCACCCAGUACCAGGGGACGUGUCGCUGCGAGGGCACCAUCUACCUGUGGAACUGGGAUGACAAAGUCAUCAUCUCUGACAUCGACGGCACCAUCACCAAGUCUGACGUGUUUGGCCAAAUUCUCCCUCAGCUCGGGAAAGACUGGACUCAUCAAGGCAUUGCUAAGCUGUACCACUCAGUGCAUGAGAAUGGCUACAAAUUCCUGUACUGUUCGGCGCGGGCAAUCGGCAUGGCGGACAUGACCAGAGGGUACUUGUACUGGGUGAACGACCGGGGAACCAUCCUGCCUCGAGGACCCCUCAUGCUGUCCCCUAGUAGCCUCUUUUCUGCAUUUCACAGGGAGGUGAUUGAAAAGAAGCCAGAGAAGUUCAAGAUUGAAUGCCUAACAGACAUCAAGAACCUCUUCUACCCAAACACACAUCCCUUCUACGCAGCCUUUGGAAACAGAGCAAAUGAUGUGUUUGCCUACAAGCAAGUGGGUGUACCAGUGUGUCGGAUAUUCACAGUCAACCCCAAAGGGGAGCUCAUCCUAGAGCAAUCGAAAGGCAAUAAGACUUCGUAAGUAGCGACUUCACAGGAUUGUAAUCAUAAUGACUCUUUAUCUCUCUGUAUGUCAGGAGUGUGGGUUUCUUGGGGAGGAUUUUGGCCGGAUUCAAUUGCCGACAAAUGCACCUUUUAAAGGCGUUCGUGGAGAUCGUCUGAUGUUCGCGGAGAUCACAUUCAUGCUACGGCCGACUGAGUGAACUGGUGGAGCACGUUUUCCCUUUACGCAGUAAGGAGCAGAGCGCCACCUUCAGUUUCCCAGAAUUCAGUUCUUUCUGCUUCUGGAGACAACCAAUCGCUGAGGUCUGCCUUGAGGAGCUGCUCUGAAACAACCAAUCGCUGAUGUGCGUCUUGAGGAGCUGCUCUGAUUUCUGAUUGGACAGUUCCCACAGCUGUGGUAUUAUCAGGUAUUAAGGCGAUAACCAACAGACACUUCGGGUAUGGUCGAUGCACUUUGUGUCUUUUGGACGGGAAAGAAAUCACUUGAAAUCAACUGUAUUUGUUUGAAUCGAUGUAAGCAAUAUUUUGUAUUGCUUAAUAAUUGUAUGGGUCUUCCCAUGAUGAUUGCUUGUACUGCCUUAACUGAUGACUAUACUAUGUGUCUACUGAUGCUGAAUUAUAUUCCAUUGUUUAUUGCUCCACAGGUUUAAUAGCGUUUCGUUGAUAUAUCAGUAAGAACUGCUUCACAUGAUCGAUUUAGGCAUACUUUCCAAUACAGACUCUACAGCCUUUUUACAGUACAAUGUGAAGAGAAAGAAGACAGGCGUAGUCGUAAGGUUAGUUAUUUGGCUUGAGUGAUAAUGCACUCCCUAUGUUGGGGUGUCCCGCUGUUUGGGAAGGCCUUACAUUAUAGUGUAUGCAUGCUAGUCUAAUUUUGAACUAAGGACUCUCUUCAAGCCGUGUCGCGAAGGUUCAGCGUUACGGUGCGAUUUGAAAUUGAAAGGCAACAUUCCCGCAUUAGCGGAGACGGCUGCAUUCACGUUAAACGCCGCAAAUGUCGGCCCAAUUGGAAGUUACCUUUACAUUUAUUUUGCGGAAUCUGUAACGCUUCAGCGAUACAGAUUGAGUCGAUCGCUAAUAUAUUGCGCAGAGCUGCCAGUGGAACUGGCACUAGUCUUAGAUACACGCAUACUGUAUGAUAAUAGAUCGAUUUAAGUGAUCUGAGCAGGCGAUGUUUUAGACAUACAUGCAGAUGGCUGCAGUGAAGUUUAAGGCAAUGGAAGGCCUUUCUAAAGUGUCGAUGCUGCUGACACACAGGGCACACAACACUGGAGCCUUUGGAUGGAGACAGACUAAUAUGCACUGAAAGCACAAUUAUAUGUUUUAGCAGACGUUUUAUGGGUUAACUUUGACAGUGUUUGUGUUAUGAAAUGAAUGCUUCUUUAUGGGAUAUAUUUCUAUUGUUAUAACUUGGGUUUGUCUAGUAUAUUUUGAAUUAUUAUACCAUUGUAUUUGAUGACGUUCGGAGGUGUUGCAGAGUUCCUCAGUAACAAAGGCAUUCUUUCUAUGAAAGUGAUAUUUUGUGUGGAGAGUACACACAUCUUAACACGCUGGUAUUUGUUGUGUUUUUCAGUGUAUCUAUUAAGAGAUUAAUUUUACAGUUCACACACUCUCCAAUCUUAAAUGCCUUCACUGUUACUUGAUUAAGUGUUAUUUUUGAGUGUCACUAUAUAUAUUGAAGUGUAUGUUUGGGAUAUGAAUGUUUAGCAAAACAAAAGAUAAAAUCUAUGAUUCCAUGCA